GUACACAAAAAUGCACAUGCUGUGAGCUCGAUGAGUAGGGCGGGACACGUGGUAUCCUGUCUGAAUAUGGGGGGACCAUCCUCCAAGGCUAAAUACUCCUGACUGACCGAUAGUGAACCAGUACCGUGAGGGAAAGGCGAAAAGAACCCCGGCGAGGGGAGUGAAAAAGAACCUGAAACCGUGUACGUACAAGCAGUGGGAGCCUCUUUAUGGGGUGACUGCGUACCUUUUGUAUAAUGGGUCAGCGACUUAUAUUCUGUAGCAAGGUUAACCGAAUAGGGGAGCCGGAGGGAAACCGAGUCUUAACUGGGCGUUAAGUUGCAGGGUAUAGACCCGAAACCCGGUGAUCUAGCCAUGGGCAGGUUGAAGGUUGGGUAACACUAACUGGAGGACCGAACCGACUAAUGUUGAAAAAUUAGCGGAUGACUUGUGGCUGGGGGUGAAAGGCCAAUCAAACCGGGAGAUAGCUGGUUCUCCCCGAAAGCUAUUUAGGUAGCGCCUCGUGAAUUCAUCUCCGGGGGUAGAGCACUGUUUCGGCAAGGGGGUCAUCCCGACUUACCAACCCGAUGCAAACUGCGAAUACCGGAGAAUGUUAUCACGGGAGACACACGGCGGGUGCUAACGUCCGUCGUGAAGAGGGAAACAACCCAGACCGCCAGCUAAGGUCCCAAAGUCAUGGUUAAGUGGGAAACGAUGUGGGAAGGCCCAGACAGCCAGGAUGUUGGCUUAGAAGCAGCCAUCAUUUAAAGAAAGCGUAAUAGCUCACUGGUCGAGUCGGCCUGCGCGGAAGAUGUAACGGGGCUAAACCAUGCACCGAAGCUGCGGCAGCGACGCUGAUGCGUUGUUGGGUAGGGGAGCGUUCUGUAAGCCUGUGAAGGUGUGCUGUGAGGCAUGCUGGAGGUAUCAGAAGUGCGAAUGCUGACAUAAGUAACGAUAAAGCGGGUGAAAAGCCCGCUCGCCGGAAGACCAAGGGUUCCUGUCCAACGUUAAUCGGGGCAGGGUGAGUCGACCCCUAAGGCGAGGCCGAAAGGCGUAGUCGAUGGGAAACAGGUUAAUAUUCCUGUACUUGGUGUUACUGCGAAGGGGGGACGGAGAAGGCUAUGUUGGCCGGGCGACGGUUGUCCCGGUUUAAGCGUGUAGGCUGGUUUUCCAGGCAAAUCCGGAGAAUCAAGGCUGAGGCGUGAUGACGAGGCACUACGGUGCUGAAGCAACAAAUGCCCUGCUUCCAGGAAAAGCCUCUAAGCAUCAGGUAACAUCAAAUCGUACCCCAAACCGACACAGGUGGUCAGGUAGAGAAUACCAAGGCGCUUGAGAGAACUCGGGUGAAGGAACUAGGCAAAAUGGUGCCGUAACUUCGGGAGAAGGCACGCUGAUAUGUAGGUGAAGCGACUUGCUCGUGGAGCUGAAAUCAGUCGAAGAUACCAGCUGGCUGCAACUGUUUAUUAAAAACACAGCACUGUGCAAACACGAAAGUGGACGUAUACGGUGUGACGCCUGCCCGGUGCCGGAAGGUUAAUUGAUGGGGUCAGCGCAAGCGAAGCUCUUGAUCGAAGCCCCGGUAAACGGCGGCCGUAACUAUAACGGUCCUAAGGUAGCGAAAUUCCUUGUCGGGUAAGUUCCGACCUGCACGAAUGGCGUAAUGAUGGCCAGGCUGUCUCCACCCGAGACUCAGUGAAAUUGAACUCGCUGUGAAGAUGCAGUGUACCCGCGGCAAGACGGAAAGACCCCGUGAACCUUUACUAUAGCUUGACACUGAACACUGGUCCUUGAUGUGUAGGAUAGGUGGGAGGCUUUGAAGUGUGGACGCCAGUCUGCAUGGAGCCGUCCUUGAAAUACCACCCUUUAAUGGCUGGUGUUCU
rnacentral:rRNA from 1 species